AUUGAACGCUGGCGGCAGGCCUAACACAUGCAAGUCGAGCGGAUGAGGAAAGCUUGCUUUUCGAUUCAGCGGCGGACGGGUGAGUAAUGCCUAGGAAUCUGCCUGUUAGUGGGGGAUAACUCGGGGAAACUCGGGCUAAUACCGCAUACGUCCUACGGGAGAAAGUGGGGGAUCUUCGGACCUCACGCUAACAGAUGAGCCUAGGUCGGAGUAGCUAGUAGGUGAGGUAAUGGCGCACCUAGGCGACGAUCCGUAACUGGUCUGAGAGGAUGAUCAGUCACACUGGAACUGAGACACGGUCCAGACUCCUACGGGAGGCAGCAGUGGGGAAUAUUGGACAAUGGGCGAGAGCCUGAUCCAGCCAUGCCGCGUGUGUGAAGAAGGUCUUCGGAUUGUAAAGCACUUUAAGUUGGGAGGAAGGGUAUUCACCUAAUACGUGGGUACUUUGACGUUACCAACAGAAUAAGCACCGGCUAACUCUGUGCCAGCAGCCGCAGUAACAC
rnacentral:rRNA from 1 species